UUGGUGGAGUUCUGGAAAAUUAGAACAAAUGAUUUAGAUUUUAAAACUAAUUUUGAAAAUAUGUAUUCUGAAUUUUUCAAGAUAGAUUGGUCCAUGCAUGGUCCGUGAAAGAACCAUCAAGGAAAUUUCUAAAUACGGAACACGAUGGUGUUGGUAGCACUGUUGAAGGACAUUUGUCAAAGUCAAAUACGUCAAGCUGUCAUUAAUGUCGCUAUCCUUUCCUUCCUUUUCCUUUUUAACUUAACACACGUUUGCAUAGGUAAGGUUAUACAGACUACAACACAUUUUCGUUAAUAAAUAAAUAACUUACCACAAAGCCAUUCGGUCCUUGGGGUAAUUUAAAGACUCAAAAUUCGAUAAAAAAUAAGGUAGGUCAAAAUGACCAAAGGUACCUCAAGUUUUGGUAAACGUCGCAAUAAGACCCACACCCUAUGCAGGAGGUGCGGUAGAUCUUCAUACCACAUCCAAAAGUCACAGUGUGCGCAAUGUGGCUACCCAUCUGCAAAACUACGUUCCUACAACUGGUCCAUCAAAGCCAAGAGGAGGAAGACCACCGGAACUGGCCGUCUCCGUCAUCUUAAAAUUGUACGCAGGCGUUUCCGUAAUGGAUUCCGUGAAGGUACUAAACCAGUUAAGAAAUCAACGUAGAUUUAUUAAUUUUUUUUUGUAUAAGAACAAAUAAAAAAACUGUUUAGUU